rnacentral:lncRNA from 1 species
UAGCAUGGCAUAGUAAGAAAGAAUGCCGUUUCAGGAACCUAAAGGUAUAGGUUAUAUCUAAGCUAUGUCAUUAACGGAGUGUUAUUAAGUCAAUAAUUCAAACAUCUUGAUCAUCAUUUGUUUUGUUUUAAAAUUAGGAGUCUGUAUCAGAUCAUAUAACCGGAAUUUACUUUCCGGUUUUUAAAAAACCGUGGUCUUCUGUCACUCUUGCAAUUCAGAAACCAUGUCUCUGAAGCAGAUCGUAUGUGUGGCCCAGCCUAUGGUAGGAAAGGCAGCCCUGCCCUCAGGAUGAAAGGGGCUUGCAGAACCUCUGCCUGCACACCUUCCUCACAGGGAUUCUGAUGCUUUUGCAGAACUGAAAGAAUUAGGAUAGAGAUACUCUGAUUUCCACAGAAAUUCUAAGGAAAUCACUGUAAAUUGUCUAAAACCACUUUAACUACCAUGAUCUAACAACCACAUUUUCAAAUGCACAUUUUUUAGGGGGACUGCUCUGGCUGCUUUCUGCUAUGGCUGACAGAAUUUGGAAACUCACGUUGGUGCUUUUAAAGUGAACACGGGAAUGACUAGCUCAUUACUGGUGAAUUCUGUUGCAUCAGUUCUUCAGGAGUUGCUACUGAGAUAGGGAACUAGAAAUGAGAUGGAGGCGAGAAUUCAACAUCCCAUUCUUCAGGGUGGCCACAUGCUUUUGUUUCUUUUCAGCUUCUAAAACUCAAGUUCUGAUAAACUUUUAUCAGUCUCACUACCCAAGAAAGUCAUCACAUAUUAGAAAAAUACAUCUCUCUGAAUGGCCAGAUUUCUAAUAUACUGGAAAACUAUUGAAGACUUACUACAGCCUGCAUGCAUGAAAACAAAAUUAUAAUAGAGGAAAGAAGAUUGCCUUAUUUGGUGUUUUAGGCACACCCAUAGAUAUUGGAAUAAAGUUAUUCUUUGUUUGUUUGUUUUGAGACAGAGUUUCAUUCUUGUUGCCUAGGCUAGAGUGUAGUGGCGUGAUCUCUCAGCUCACUGCAACCUCUGCCUCCUGGGUUCAAGUGAUUCUCCUGCCUCAGCCUCCCAAGUCACUAGGAUUACAGGCAUGUGCCACCAUGCCCAGCUAAUUUUGUAUUUUUAGUAGAGAUGGAGUUUCACCAUGUUGGUCAGGCUGGUCUUGAAUUAACCACAGGUGAUUCACCUGCCACGACAUCCUGAAGUGCUAGGAUUACAGAAGUGAGCCACCACGUCCUUUAUUUUUAAAAAUAUUUAUUUCUGUACUUUAAAGUGGCUCAUAAUUCCCUUCUAAAUUCACGGAUAACUUUGACACCGAUUAUCACAUCUAAUUCUGCAGUGAUGAAGCACAGAGCUGGGAGUAAGCAUUUAUACACACUAC